CCUACGGGUGGCUGCAGUGAGGAAUAUUGGUCAAUGGACGAGAGUCUGAACCAGCCAAGUCGCGUGAAGGAUGACUGCCCUAUGGGUUGUAAACUUCUUUUAUAAAGGAAUAAAAUGAGGCACGUGUGCCUCUUUGCAAGUACUUUAUGAAUAAGGAUCGGCUAACUCCGUGCCAGCAGCCGCGGUAAUACGGAGGAUCCGAGCGUUAUCCGGAUUUAUUGGGUUUAAAGGGAGCGUAGAUGGGUUGUUAAGUCAGUUGUGAAAGUUUGUGGCUCAACCGUAAGAUUGCAAUUGAUACUGGCAGUCUGGAGUACAGUUGAGGUAGGCGGAAUUCGUGGUGUAGCGGUGAAAUGCUUAGAUAUCACGAAGAACCCCGAUGGCGAAGGCAGCUUACUGGACUGUGACUGACAUUGAGGCUCGAAAGUGUGGGUAUCGAACAGGAUUAGAUACCCCUGUAGUC
rnacentral:rRNA from 1 species